UCCUCUCUAGCGCCCCAAACCUUUUACUCCUCCCAGUCCCCAAGAAUGAACUGCAAACUGUAUUAAACUGAGGGAGGUGGCGGGCGAGAGGAAAGAAGUAGCCUUUUAUUCCAAACUCCAGGGAUACCGAGUCUGAGCUUCCCUACGGAAAGCCAGCCCUCCAUGGAGGCGCAUGCGUCCUGAGGCCGCCGCUGGGGGCAGCGACACAAGCUGAGACUGAAGAGGAAAAGCUAUUUUGCAUGCAAAGUUACACAGUGCUCCGUUUUGCAGAUGCCCUCGGUGCUUGCUCGUC
rnacentral:lncRNA from 1 species